CGGGGCAUAGCGCAGUCUGGUAGCGCAUCUGGUUUGGGACCAGAGGGUCGGGGGUUCGAGUCCCUCUGCCCCGACCA
rnacentral:tRNA from 1 species